rnacentral:rRNA from 1 species
UGGGGAAUCUUCCGCAAUGGACGAAAGUCUGACGGAGCAACGCCGCGUGAGUGAUGACGGCCUUCGGGUUGUAAAGCUCUGUUAAUCGGGACGAAAGGCCUUCUUGCGAAUAGUGAGAAGGAUUGACGGUACCGGAAUAGAAAGCCACGGCUAACUACGUGCCAGCAGCCGCGGUAAUACGUAGGUGGCAAGCGUUGUCCGGAAUUAUUGGGCGUAAAGCGCGCGCAGGCGGAUCGGUCAGUCUGUCUUAAAAGUUCGGGGCUUAACCCCGUGAUGGGAUGGAAACUGCCAAUCUAGAGUAUCGGAGAGGAAAGUGGAAUUCCUAGUGUAGCGGUGAAAUGCGUAGAUAUUAGGAAGAACACCAGUGGCGAAGGCGACUUUCUGGACGAAAACUGACGCUGAGGCGCGAAAGCCAGGGGAGCGAACGGGAUUAGGUACCCCGGUAGUCCUGGCCGUAAACGAUGGGUACUAGGUGUAGGAGGUAUCGACCCCUUCUGUGCCGGAGUUAACGCAAUAAGUACCCCGCCUGGGGAGUACGACCGCAAGGUUG